UCUCUUUCUUCUUUUCUCUACUUUCGUUCUUCUUCUUCUUCUUUUCUUCCGGUCGAUGAAAAUUGAGAAUCAAUUUAUGAGUUCGAGUUAUUAGUAAAUUUGUUAAGAUUCACAAAGGGUUAUUGAUGGUGAUGAUGUUGAUUAACAUUGAAGAAGAAGAAGAUUAAGUUACUGUUGUAAAUCAAAUUAGGAAUUUCUGAAGUCAGGGUUUAUGUAAAAUUGAUGAUGAUUUAGUAUAGUUGGUGGAUGAAAAACCGAGGGGUUGUUAUUGAAUUGAAGAGUUGAAGAUUCUCUGGCGUUGAAUUGAAAAUAAAAGGUAAUUAGGGUUUUUGAGAUAACUGUUUGGAAUUUCGAUUAGUGAUGAAUAAGAAUAAAUUAACGGAUGGGUUUUGAUGAACAUAAAUUAAAGAAGAAGAUUAUGGUUCUUAUUUACAGAUCCAAUCACUGAGAAGACUUUAAUUUCAGAAUUGAGGUAACGGUCUUUCCCUGUAAGUUAGUAAGAUUGUUAUUUGAUUGUUGUGUUUCAAAUUGGUGUUGUUGUGAGAUGAUGAAUUUGGCUGGAUUGUGUUGUUACUAGCAUUCUUGAGUUUGUAUCUCAGUUGAAUGAAGUGAUACUGCAGGUGGUAAUGAAAAUGAUAGUAAUUUGUGGUCUGGUGUUGCUAUGGCCAGUCUAGUGGUGUUAAUGCUAGUGAUGUGUCUGCAAGAUUGAAUUAUGGGUGGAAUGAAGUGUACUUCAAAUUAAAGCUGUAGAUGAGGUUUCAAUUUGUGUUGCAGGUGAUUGUGCUGAACUGAAAAUUGUUGAGUUAUACUAGUGUUGUGUUGCAGAUAUAGAUGUUUGAGGUAGGUGGUAUGUCUGUUGAAUGGUAAUAGUGGAAGGUACUGAAGUCCAGUGAAUUGGAUGGCUGGUUUAACUGAAAUAAGAAGCUUUGAGUGUAUGUGAGAGAUAUGGUGAAAUACAGAAUUGUCGGAGUUGGUAGUGUUGAACUGAACUUGGUGUUGUCUGAGUAGUUGUUAUUGCAGAACUGAAGUUGUAGGUUAUGUGUAUUUUGUUAAGCUCAGAGUUUGGAGAUGUAGGUAAAGUAAAUGUAAUGGAUUGGAUUGUGUGUGUUUGAACUGAUGUUGAUGUUGCAGUUAAGAGUUGAGUUAGCAGUGGAACUGAAAUUAUAAGUGGAUAUGUCAUGGCUAGUUAGAUGAGAUGGCAAUGGUUGUGGUGCUGCUGAUAUGAAUGGAUUAAGGGUAUGUGAGAUAGAGAAGGGAAUUGAAGGUGACUGCAGUUGAGUUUGGUGUUGAUUGUUGUUAGUGAUUGCUGCAAAGCUUGGAACUACUGAACUGCAGUUAUUCUAUUAACAACGAUCGAUUCAAUGGAUGAACCAGUGGAUCGUGGAUCUCGAGGUGUUUUUGGAGAAAUACGCUUGUGAGGAAAAAGUUGCUCAAAAAGUGCUAUUUGGGACCCAUAGGACAUUUUCUAAACAAACCUCUACUUUGGAUAAGGGGCACCUCAAUUGAUAAGGGGCACCCACAUGAUAUUCGCACCCAGGCAGCUGGUUAGGGGGCACUCAUCUUCAUCGUUUGAAAAGUAGUUUUUGGCAGGAAACUGAAACUUUCAGGUGCGACGAGUUCUGGCAAGAUUUUGGGCGAGAUUUCCUCCAAGUUCUUUGAUCAUUUGGAUCGAUAUUAGCCUGACUUAACAAAACAGGGGAGGUACAUGGUCCAUGCAUGUGAAAGAGGAAAUAUUUCUCUUGAUUUUCGUUAAACAAAGAACAAAUAUUCUCAAAUUCUCGGUAUCAAUCUCUUGGCGUUAUUUUGGGAAGUUGUGUGCAGAUUAAGAAAGUAAUAUACCAGGGAUUAUAUCCUAAUUACUAAGGGAGAUUUUGACAACCCAGAGAUGCGUGGAAAAGAUAAAAGGAGAAAGAAAAUCUCGUUGAUUUGUCAGAGGAGUAAUGACGAGAUUUAUUUCAUUUAAUCGAGAGAUUGAAGGUGUUGGUGGUGUAUAAAUAGGUUGUUGGAUUCAUACGAGGGGUUACGAAGAGUUUGGGAAGGAUUUGGAACAUCACAAAGGCGAAACACGAUCACCAGAGAAACCUGUUGUUGCCGUUGAAGAACACGAAGAACAUAGACCCACAGAAGCAGUCGUUUUUGCUACAAU